rnacentral:rRNA from 1 species
CAAGCGGUGGAGCAUGUGGUUUAAUUCGAUGCAACGCGAAAAACCUUACCUACCCUUGACAUGUCUGGAAUCUUUUAGAGAUAGAAGAGUGCCCGAAAGGGAGCCAGAACACAGGUGCUGCAUGGCUGUCGUCAGCUCGUGUCGUGAGAUGUUGGGUUAAGUCCCGCAACGAGCGCAACCCUUGUCAUUAGUUGCUACGAAAGAGCACUCUAAUGAGACUGCCGGUGACAAACCGGAGGAAGGUGGGGAUGACGUCAAGUCCUCAUGGCCCUUAUGGGUAGGGCUUCACACGUCAUACAAUGGUACAUACAGAGGGCCGCCAACCCGCGAGGGGGAGCUAAUCCCAGAAAGUGUAUCGUAGUCCGGAUUGUAGUCUGCAACUCGACUACAUGAAGUUGGAAUCGCUAGUAAUCGCGGAUCAGCAUGUCGCGGUGAAUACGUUCCCGGG